rnacentral:rRNA from 1 species
GACGAACGCUGGCGGCGUGCUUAACACAUGCAAGUCGAACGGAAAGGCCCUGCUUUUGUGGGGUGCUCGAGUGGCGAACGGGUGAGUAACACGUGAGUAACCUGCCCUUGACUUUGGGAUAACUUCAGGAAACUGGGGCUAAUACCGGAUAGGAGCUCCUGCUGCAUGGUGGGGGUUGGAAAGUUUCGGCGGUUGGGGAUGGACUCGCGGCUUAUCAGCUUGUUGGUGGGGUAGUGGCUUACCAAGGCUUUGACGGGUAGCCGGCCUGAGAGGGUGACCGGCCACAUUGGGACUGAGAUACGGCCCAGACUCCUACGGGAGGCAGCAGUGGGGAAUAUUGCACAAUGGGCGGAAGCCUGAUGCAGCAACGCCGCGUGCGGGAUGACGGCCUUCGGGUUGUAAACCGCUUUCGCCUGUGACGAAGCGUGAGUGACGGUAAUGGGUAAAGAAGCACCGGCUAACUACGUGCCAGCAGCCGCGGUGAUACGUAGGGUGCGAGCGUUGUCCGGAUUUAUUGGGCGUAAAGGGCUCGUAGGUGGUUGAUCGCGUCGGAAGUGUAAUCUUGGGGCUUAACCCUGAGCGCGCUUUCGAUACGGGUUGACUUGAGGAAGGUAGGGGAGAAUGGAAUUCCUGGUGGAGCGGUGGAAUGCGCAGAUAUCAGGAGGAACACCAGUGGCGAAGGCGGUUCUCUGGGCCUUUCCUGACGCUGAGGAGCGAAAGCGUGGGGAGCGAACAGGCUUAGAUACCCUGGUAGUCCACGCUGUAAACGGUGGGUACUAGGUGUGGGGUCCACUCCACGGGUUCCGUGCCGUAGCUAACGCUUUAAGUACCCCGCCUGGGGAGUACGGCCGCAAGGCUAAAACUCAAAGGAAUUGACGGGGCCCCGCACAAGCGGCGGAGCAUGCGGAUUAAUUCGAUGCAACGCGUAGAACCUUACCUGGGUUUGACAUGGAUCGGGAGUGCUCAGAGAUGGGUGUGCCUCUUUUGGGGUCGGUUCACAGGUGGUGCAUGCCUGUCGUCAGCUCGUGUCGUGAGAUGUUGGGUUAAGUCCCGCAACGAGCGCAACCCUUGUUCACUGUUGCCAGCACGUUAUGGUGGGGACUCAGUGGAGACCGCCGGGGUCAACUCGGAGGAAGGUGGGGAUGACGUCAAGUCAUCAUGCCCCUUAUGUCCAGGGCUUCACGCAUGCUACAAUGGCUGGUACAGAGAGUGGCGAGCCUGUGAGGGUGAGCGAAUCUCGGAAAGCCGGUCUCAGUUCGGAUUGGGGUCUGCAACUCGACCUCAUGAAGUCGGAGUCGCUAGUAAUCGCAGAUCAGCAACGCUGCGGUGAAUACGUUCCCGGGGCU